CAAUACGUACAUUUUUACGCGAACCCUUUUUAGAUAUAGGUUUUGCCAUAUUUAAUUAUUUCAUAAAAAUAAAUCCAAGAUAUAUGGUAUGGAUAUAUCCAUUUCGUGUCAAAAAAGGGGAUCCUUUAUUAAAUUAAUUAUAUCCUUUAUUAAAUUAAUUAUUUUAUAACUAGAAUUAAUAUUCUAUUUUUCUAUAUUAAUUCUAUUUUAGUUCGAUUAAUAUAAAAUAAAAUUUUUGAAAUAAAAUUUCAAAUUUGAAAUAUCAAUCAAUCAUUUUUCUUAUAAAAUAAAAAUUGGAUAUUUGAUAGA
rnacentral:lncRNA from 1 species